UCGGCGCUGGGGUGUACGUAGGAAGGGCCAACAUGUUUCAUUCCUAAAAUACUCUCGGGGACCAGGACUCGUCUCUGGCUGCCAGGCCGGCAUCACGUCCGGAAGGCAAAAGGUUGCGAUUCGGUACCCACCUGUGAAGGCUAGAGGUAAGGAACCGGCCCCGACUACGGCAUCCUGGCCUUGUU
rnacentral:other from 1 species